ensembl:snoRNA small nucleolar RNA, H/ACA box 47
UGGAGGACUGAGAAGGUAAGGCAGUUAUAUCCUGUACUGGUUCUUACUGGUUAUAGCCUCCAAGACUAAAAUGGUGCAAAAGCAACCCAUGUUCCUCUCCUAACUUGAGUGGAAACAAUACUGCCUUUGCAUAUAUGGC